AACCGGCCGAUUCCCCCUCAUCUCUCAUUUCCCAUCUCCCAAAUUUCAUCACAACCCUAGCUGUCAAUCGGCGCCUCCCUCACUCAGUGAAAUCGCCGCUUAACCUGGUCGCCGGAGCGUCGCCGGCGACUCGUGCCAGCAUCCUCCAUCUGCGUCCAGCUCCUUCCCCUUUUGAACUGAACAACGUCUCUUCCCUCUCUCGUUUUCUCCGCAAAUCGGCAGUUCCUCCGCCGUCAAAUUCCAGCUCUCUGCGAGCAUCACCGCCGCUUCCUUCCUCGCGACGAAGAGUCAUCGCCGGUUGCUUUCCGGCGUUCAGCAGCGCCGCUGUAGCAACGCCACCACCUCCGCCUCUGUCGCGGCGUCUAGUCCGAGACCGGUGGGUAGCAUCGCCGAUUUCUCUCAUCCCCUCACAGUGUGGGUCCCUCCAUGUUACCCGGGGGUCAGUCGCCGUCUCACUCGCGGCAGAGGGGAGAACGCGGCGGUCUUCCCCUAGCUCCGGUUCCGGUCAGGAGUUCCACUACUCGUUGCCAUAGCUAAGUCCCCCCUUUCAAUUUCCCAUUUCUUUUAAAUUCUUGUUGAGGGAUUAAACACGCAUUGAUAGUUCUUGCUCAAUUCGACUAACUUCUAAGUCGGCAUAUAUAUAUGCAUCGGCGAAAUUCCAAGAAACUACGUCAUGGGGAAUUAUAUCCGCCAUUUGUUUCCAUAGAGGGCAAAGGCGCGAGACGUUCUUGCGUGUUUUAACCAAACACGCAUGACGCUCUCGCUUGUUUAAUUAAACACACAUGACGCUCUCACGUGUAUAUGUAACACGCAUCAGGCUCUCGCGUGUUUGCCUUGGACACAUAUUCCAGUCCAAACGGCAGAGACCUCACUUCCUCCUCGCGACUUCACUUCCACCUCGCUCAUUCUCUCACUCUCAGCGACGGCCAACGUCUCUAGCCAGCGAAAAUCGAAGUGAAUCCGAUAUUUUGAUGCUCUAAUUCCUAUUUUACGUGGUGUUAGGUUUAAUGGAACAUAUGUGUCUCUGGCCUCUAACGUUCAACCAAAGCUGUGAUCAAAGCAUGAUCUACAUCUAGAGCCUUACCACAGAAAAAAACUCCACUUAAAUCAAAUCUGCAGACAUAAUCAAUUACGCGUCUGUGAUGAUUAUCUAUUUCCCAUAAAUGGCCCUCAAAGUGCCGAAUAUUGAAAGGAGUUGUUUCCUCGUCUGCCCACGCCUUGCGUGAUAUAUGACUGUGCUGAUAAUACAAUAUAGAAAGAUCUUCUGGUCCA